GACGAACGCUGGCGGCGUGCUUAACACAUGCAAGUCGAACGGAAAGGCCCUGCUUUUGUGGGGUGCUCGAGUGGCGAACGGGUGAGUAACACGUGAGUAACCUGCCCUUGACUUUGGGAUAACUUCAGGAAACUGGGGCUAAUACCGGAUAGGAGCUCCUGCUGCAUGGUGGGGGUUGGAAAGUUUCGGCGGUUGGGGAUGGACUCGCGGCUUAUCAGCUUGUUGGUGGGGUAGUGGCUUACCAAGGCUUUGACGGGUAGCCGGCCUGAGAGGGUGACCGGCCACAUUGGGACUGAGAUACGGCCCAGACUCCUACGGGAGGCAGCAGUGGGGAAUAUUGUACAAUGGGCGGAAGCCUGAUGUAGCAACGCCGCGUGCGGGAUGACGGCCUUCGGGUUGUAAACCGCUUUCGCCUGUGACGAAGCGUGAGUGACGGUAAUGGGUAAAGAAGCACCGGCUAACUACGUG
rnacentral:rRNA from 1 species